rnacentral:rRNA from 1 species
GGAGAGAUAUACGAGAGUUUUCACUCCAAACCCUUAUGUGAACCUACCUAUCGUUGCUUCGGCGGACUCGCCCCAGCCGGACGCGGACUGGACCAGCGGCCGCCGGGGACCAUCAAACUCUUGUAUUAUCAGCAUCUUCUGAAUACGCCGCAAGGCAAAACAAAUAAAUUAAAACUUUCAACAACGGAUCUCUUGGCUCUGGCAUCGAUGAAGAACGCAGCGAAAUGCGAUAAGUAAUGUGAAUUGCAGAAUCCAGUGAAUCAUCGAAUCUUUGAACGCACAUUGCGCCCGCCAGCAUUCUGGCGGGCAUGCCUGUUCGAGCGUCAUUUCAACCCUCGACCUCCCUUUGGGGAAGUCGGCGUUGGGGACCGGCAGCACACCGCCGGCCCUGAAAUGGAGUGGCGGCCCGUCCGCGGCGACCUCUGCGUAGUAAACCAACUCGCACCGGAACCCCGACGUGGCCACGCCGUAAAACACCCAACUUCUGAACGUUGACCUCGAAUCAGGUAGGACUACCCGCUGAACUUAAGCAUAUAUUAAGCGGAGGA